rnacentral:rRNA from 1 species
UACGUAGGGGGCAAGCGUUGUCCGGAAUCAUUGGGCGUAAAGAGCGUGUAGGCGGCUCGAUAAGUCCGCUGUGAAAGUCCAGGGCUCAACCCUGGAAGGCCGGUGGAAACUGUCGGGCUAGAGUCCGGAAGAGGCCGGUGGAAUUCCCGGUGUAGUGGUGAAAUGCGUAGAGAUCGGGAGGAACACCAGUGGCGAAGGCGGCCGGCUGGGGGUGACCUGACGCUGAGGCGCGAAAGCUAGGGGAGCAAACGGG